AUGAUUCCAGGACCUGGAAUCAUACCAGUCGAUGGGUGGUGGUUUAUCGCUCGUUCAGCUGACGGCGGUCAUUUGAUGCUCAUUCGCACCACGACCCUCUUUUGUUGGAUAUUAUGUACCGUUGUUAGUUUGAAGCACUCCUCUGGUUUGAAGGAUAGAUACCUUCCUGGGAUCAAGUGCAUCCUAACUCACCUACUACCAUAUAACUGGAAUUACCGAUGCAAGUCGAAGAAGGAUUGGCCGGUGCUGCCAGCUGGCGUCAAGUUUGAUCCCACGGAUCAGGAGCUGAUCGAGCACCUUGAUGCCAAAGUGAGUGCUGAGAGCGCGAGAUUUCAGUCUAUCAUCGAUUUGUUCGUACCAACCAUCGACAGCGAGCACGGCAUAUGCUACACCCAACCUGAGAAACUUCCAGCGCAAUUCCAGGGCGUUCAAAAGGGGCAUGUGGACGCGUCGCAAGAUACAGUCGGAGUGCGGCAUGCACGCGAUGUGGCACAAGACCUGCAAUACCUUGCCGGUGAUGGUCAACGGCCGGCAAGACGGGCAGCAAAAAAGGUUCUGGUGCUGCACACCAACAAGAACUUCGACCAACAGAGGACCAACUGGGUGAUGCACCAGUACCACCUCGGGGACCUGGAGCAAGAGAAGGAGCGGGAGCUGUUGUACUACCUUGUCGUCCGCAAGUUGGUAUUGUUGUUAACGAUCUUUUGGUCGAGCAAGUUUCAACUGGGCUGUAGACUGCCCAGGGUUGGUUUGGUUUUUAACAGGCCCAGCCCAUGA
rnacentral:rRNA from 1 species